GUGAGGUAGUUUCCUCUCUUUUAGAUCUCUAAUUUAUUUUCUUAAGCUGUUCCUUCUUUCCGCCUUUGAAUGUUGUUUUUAGGCAAAAUUGGCCAAAUCAACCUCUAGCUAAAACUUUGAUGACUCUUUUCGAAAAGAAUGUCAUCAAUCGCUGAAACCGAAACUUGCCACUCGAAAAGGCCCCUGAACCAAAAUGUGCCAUUUCAAAUAUAUCGGUCUUUUCUUUCUUUGUGAUGUGAUCAUUUGCUUGGUAUCACACAGGAUGUUGUGGUGACUGUUCUAUUUCUUGUUACCGUGUAACUGCAUCUCGUUUCCUUCUUUGCGAAACAUUACAUUUCAAAAUUCUGACCGGUCUUAUUUUCAAUCUUUGAAGUUUAUGUUACUUGUUGUCUACACUGC